UGUAGGUGGUGGGAUUGUGUUGCAUUGCCAGAUGAUAUUGAUUCUUCAGAUGAAGAUUCAUUCAGGAUGCAAAUAAAAGAAUUGGCAUUCAAGUCUCUCCAACUUCUUAAGAAAGCUAUAUUUGACAAAGAGUGUGAGCCAUUAUUCUCCCUUGAUAUCUAUGGACACAUCAUUGGCAUGUUUGAACAGAAUAAUCU